rnacentral:rRNA from 1 species
UGGGGAAUUUUCCGCAAUGGGCGAGAGCCUGACGGAGCAAUACCGCGUGAGGGAGGAAUGCCUUUGGGUUGUAAACCUCUUUUCUCAGGGAAGAAGAUCUGACGGUACCUGAGGAAUAAGUAUCGGCUAACUCCGUGCCAGCAGCCGCGGUAAUACGGAGGAUGCAAGCGUUAUCCGGAAUCAUUGGGCGUAAAGCGUCCGCAGGUGGUUUCCAAAGUCUGCUGUUAAAGACUGGAGCUCAACUCCGGAACGGCGGUGGAAACUUGGAAACUAGAGUUCGGUAGGGGUAGCAGGAAUUCCCAGUGUAGCGGUGAAAUGCGUAGAUAUUGGGAAGAACAUCGGUGGCGAAGGCGUGCUACUGGACCGUAACUGACACUCAGGGACGAAAGCUAGGGGAGCGAAAGGGAUUAGAUACCCCUGUAGUCCUAGCUGUAAACGAUGGAAACUAGGUGUGGCUUGA